rnacentral:misc_RNA from 1 species
GAUGAAGAACGCAGCGAAAUGCGAUAAGUAAUGUGAAUUGCAGAAUUCAGUGAACCAUCGAAUCUUUGAACGCACAUUGCGCCCGCCAGUAUUCUGGCGGGCAUGCCUGUCUGAGCGUCAUUUCAACCCUCAUGCCCCUAGGGCGUGGUGUUGGGGAUCGGCCAAAGCCCGCGAGGGACGGCCGGCCCCUAAAUCUAGUGGCGGACCCGUCGUGGCCUCCUCUGCGAAGUAGUGAUAUUCCGCAUCGGACAGCGACGAGCCCCUGCCGUUAAACCCCCAACUUUCCAAGGUUGACCUCAGAUCAGGUAGGAAUACCCGCUGAACUUAAGCAUAUCAAUAAGCGGAGGA